UACGUAGGGGGCAAGCGUUGCCCGGAUUUAUUGGGCGUAAAGAGCGUGUAGGCGGCCAGGUAGGUCCGUUGUGAAAACUGGAGGCUUAACCUCCAGCUGUCGAUGGAAACCAUCUGGCUAGAGUCCGGAAGAGGAGAGUGGAAUUCCUGGUGUAGCGGUGAAAUGCGCAGAUAUCAGGAAGAACACCCGUGGCGAAGGCGGCUCUCUGGGACGGUACUGACGCUGAGACGCGAAAGCGUGGGGAGCGAACAGG
rnacentral:rRNA from 1 species